rnacentral:rRNA from 1 species
UCCAAAAAAAAUGACCCUGUAGAGUAUCUUAGGAGAGGGAGAAAAUUCCCAGGGUAGCGCUGAAAAGCGUAGAGAUUUGGAAGGAACACUGGUGGGGAGGCGGCCCCCUUGGAAAAUAUUGACGCUCUGGUACGAAAAAGUGGGGGAGCCAACAGGAGAUGAUACCCUGGUAGUCCCCGCCUAAACGAUGUCUAUAUGGAGUGGGGGGUCCCUGUGACAUUGUUGUCGCAGAUAACGCGAGAAAUCGACCGCGUGAGGAGUACGGCCGCAAGGUAAAAAAUCAAAAGAGAUGAGGGGGGGCCCCACAAGCGGGGGAGCAUGUGUUUUUAUUAGAAACAACGCGAAGAACCUUACCCGUCGUCGUCAUCUCGGGAAUCCUUUAGAGAUACGGGAGUGCCUUCGGGAAUCUUAACACACGGGCUGCACGGGGGUCUUCAGAUCGUGUCUUGAGAUGUUGGGUUAAUUCCCGCAACGAGCGCACCCCCUCUCCUUUUUUCCCAGCACGUAAUGGUGGGAACUCAAGGGAGACUCCCGGUGCUAAACCGGAGGAAGGUGGGGAGGACGUCAAGUCUUCAUGGCCCCUACGGCCAGGGGUCCACACGUGUUCCAAUGGGGUGUACAGAGGGGGGCAAGUCAGCGAGAGGGAGCGAUUCCCAAAAAGCGUGUCGUAUUCCGGAUCGGAGUGUGCAACUGGAGUCCCGAAGUGGGAAUCGGUAGUAAUUCAAAUCAGAAUUCGCGAGAAUUUUUCCCGGGCCUUUACACACCGCCCGUCACCCCCGAGAGUUGGUGCGCACCGAAGUAGAUAGGUUUACCUAAGGAGCGCGCUAUACACUUGUGCUGCCAUUUGGAG